rnacentral:rRNA from 1 species
AUGGGAGGUACAAUGCAGUCGAGGGGGCAUCGGGGAGCGAAGCUUGCUUUGCUCCGCCGGCGACCGGCGCACGGGUGAGUAACGCGUAUGCAACCUGCCCGUUUCAGCGGGAUAACCCGGAGAAAUCCGGCCUAAUACCGCAUGUGGCCGAGGGGAGGCAUCUUCUUUCGGCCAAAGGAGGCGACUCCGGAGACGGAUGGGCAUGCGUGACAUUAGCUUGUUGGCGGGGUAACGGCCCACCAAGGCGACGAUGUCUAGGGGUUCUGAGAGGAAGGUCCCCCACACUGGUACUGAGACACGGACCAGACUCCUACGGGAGGCAGCAGUGAGGAAUAUUGGUCAAUGGGCGAGAGCCUGAACCAGCCAAGUCGCGUGAAGGAUGACGGCCCUAUGGGUUGUAAACUUCUUUUGUCAGGGAGCAAUUGGGUCCACGCGUGGGCUUAGCGAGAGUACCUGAAGAAAAAGCAUCGGCUAACUCCGUGCCAGCAGCCGCGGUAAUACGGAGGAUGCGAGCGUUAUCCGGAUUUAUUGGGUUUAAAGGGUGCGUAGGCGGAAUAUCAAGUCAGCGGUAAAAAUUCGGGGCUCAACCCCGUCGUGCCGUUGAAACUGAUGUUCUUGAGUGGGCGAGAAGUAUGCGGAAUGCGUGGUGUAGCGGUGAAAUGCAUAGAUAUCACGCAGAACUCCGAUUGCGAAGGCAGCA